AUCGCUUCUCGGCCUUUUGGCUAAGAUCAAGUGUAGAACUGGAGAAAGGAGCAGUGCCUUGGUAGUCUGCAUCUUUUUUUUUUUGGUUCUUUUUUUCGGAGCUGGGGACCGAACCCAGGGCCUUGCGCUUCCUAGGUAAGCGCUCUACCA
ensembl:snRNA U2 U2 spliceosomal RNA